rnacentral:sRNA from 1 species
UUUUAAACAUAUGAGUUAGAUGUGUGCUGUUUAUUUUCUUUUAUUGCUUACAACUAAACUUGGUAGUUUAUGGAGUAUUUUCUAAGACUGUUAUUUAUAAAAUGUAAUAAAACCAAAUUAUUCAUAUAUUUUUAUAUUAAACCCUCUCAGAUAAUUCUGUUAAUAUGAUGAGAACUGGAAAUAUAGACCUCUUAAACAUUUUUGUUUUUUCUUGAUAGGAAGAAGAAAAGAAGUCGGUCAGUUAUCCUUCUCUCCUUAGCCACAUAACUUCUUCUCUCAUGAAUCAUCCAGUCAUUCCAAUGGCAAAUAAGUUCUCCUCACCUACCCUUGAGCUGCAAGGUGAAUUCUCUCCAUUACAGUCAUCUUUGCCUUGUGACAUUCAUCUGGUUAAUUUGAGAACAAUACAGUCAAAGGUGGGCAAUGGGCAUUCCAAUGAGGCAGCCUUGAUCCUCCACAGAAAAGGGUUUGAUUGUCGGUUCUCUAGCAAAGGCACAGGGCUGUUUUGUUCUACUACUCAGGGAAAGGUAAGUUGAAAAGGUUAUUUUUGCUUACUGUUAGUGUGCUUUGAAAUCCUCUUUCUGCAAAGGAUCUUGACAAUAAGAUCAUGUUUCAUUGCUUCUUUACUGUCUCAGUUUCGUCAGUCUGCAAAUUAGUUUGAAUCUCCCCAUCUGAAAAAUGCACUUUCUCAAAACUUCAGCCUCAUUUCCUUGUUGACAUCAAAAGGCAUAGCUGGAAUUUAUGCACAUUUGAAGGCAAUGCUCUUGUUAUUUCCUAGGCCUUCUAUUUCCAGCCU